UUUCAGACCGGCGUGAGCCAGGUCGGUUUCUAUCCUUAGUUACUUUUAAAAACUUAGUACGAAAGGACCAGUUUUUGGGAAUAUUUUUUAUGGAUUUGAUUUAUAU
rnacentral:rRNA from 1 species